rnacentral:rRNA from 1 species
UACGGGGGGGGCAAGCGUUGUUCGGAAUUACUGGGCGUAAAGGGCUUGUAGGUGGCCAACUAAGUCAGACGUGAAAUCCCUCGGCUUAACCGGGGAACUGCGUCUGAUACUGGAUGGCUGGAGUGUGGGAGAGGGAUGCGGAAUUCCAGGUGUAGCGGUGAAAUGCGUAGAUAUCUGGAGGAACACCGGUGGCGAAGGCGGCAUCCUGGACCAUUACUGACACUGAAAAGCGAAAGCCAGGGGAGCAAACAGG